GGGGAUGUAGCUCAGUGGUACAUCACCUGCUUGUCACGCUUGAGGUCCUGGGUUCAACCCCCAAACUUCCCCC
rnacentral:tRNA from 1 species